CAGAGGUGGCAAGCGUUGUUCGGAAUUACUGGGCGUAAAGGGCGCGUAGGCGGUUUUGUAAGUCAGACGUGAAAUCCCCAGGCUUAACUUGGGAACUGCGUCUGAUACUGCAAAACUUGAGUGCGGGAGAGGGAUGUGGAAUUCCAGGUGUAGCGGUGAAAUGCGUAGAUAUCUGGAGGAACACCGGUGGCGAAGGCGGCAUCCUGGACCGACACUGACGCUGAGGCGCGAAAGCUAGGGGAGCAAACGGGAUUAGAUACCCCGGUAGUCCUAGCCCUAAACGAUGAGUGCUUGGUGUGGCGGGUAUCGAUCCCUGCCGUGCCGAAGCUAACGCAUUAAGCACUCCGCCUGGGGAGUACGGUCGCAAGGCUG
rnacentral:rRNA from 1 species